rnacentral:rRNA from 1 species
UACAGAGGUCCCAAGCGUUGUUCGGAUUCAUUGGGCGUAAAGGGUGUGUAGGCGGCGCGGUAAGUCGGGUGUGAAAUCUCGGGGCUUAACUCCGAAACUGCAUUCGAUACUGCCGUGCUUGAGGACUGGAGAGGAGACUGGAAUUUACGGUGUAGCGGUGAAAUGCGUAGAUAUCGUAAGGAAGACCAGUGGCGAAGGCGGGUCUCUGGACAAUUCCUGACGCUGAGGCACGAAAGCCAGGGGAGCAAACAGG